GAAAUCUGUCUUGCUCCCAGGGCACUAUCCCUAGGAGCUCCUAGGGCACUCAGGCAUCCAGAGGUAUUACUUCCAAACAGGAGGGUUCACACACUUGAUUUCAAAGAGUGGUUGCCAUCAGAAAGGGUAGGUGCCCAGGCCAAAUCUGAGAUCGUCCAAACCCCAGCCUGUAUGGAUUUCACGCCCUGAGAAGGAGAGGAGUAGGAAAAUCAUGGCUGCCCAUCAGGCAUUUCAGGGCUCAUUGAGGGAGAGGAGUCAGGAAAUCACGCUGGUAGGUGCACAAGACCAGCGCCAAAAAGGGUCCUGCUGUGGGAGGCAGAGUGGAGGGUUGCUGUUAGGGCGCAUGUCCGCCAGAUGGCGCCAAAGCGCAAGCAGAGCGGCUCCCUCUGCGUCUCUUCUGCAUCUCCAGGCUCCGAUACAUGGCAGGAGAUGGAUGGAUGGAACCUCAAGGAGGUGGCCAGAGCCUUGUUUGUGAUCCGCACACCCUCCUUUUCCUGCCACACCGGAGCAUCUUCCUCCUCUGCUGGACAAGUUUGCCAAGGAACUUACCCAAAUCCAGGUAAAAGUGAGUAACUCAUGGGAGGUCCUGGAUCUCAAGCCAGAUGCCAGGGCAGAGGGGUGCUGAUUGAUCAACAACUGGCUGUGCUGACCUAAAAAGCAGGGUGUCUGUUUUCAGGGAGUGGGAUGGUGUCCUGUGGGGUGAGUGCCCUGGUCGACUUUGAGAUAGUCACACCCCCACCCAUCGUGCAUUUCAGUGCCCUGCCAGGGAGAGGAGUCAGGAAAUCAUGCUGGCCAGUGCCCCAGGCCAGUGCAGACCAGGCUUCUGCCCUGGGAGGCCGAGGAAGGGCUGAGGGUUGCUGUUAGGGUGCAUGUCCGCCAGACGGCCCCAGAGAGGCAGGUGAGCCGCCCCCCCGCCUCUCCCUGGCUGCCUCACCAGGCUCGGAAAGUGAUUGGAGAUGGAUGGAUGGAACCUCAAGGAGGGGCCCGGAGCCUUGUGUUUGUGUACCUGGUGCCUCUGCCCCAGCGGCCCAGUUUGCCUCCACUCAGUGAGGGCCACAUUCCUCAUUCGGGACAACAACCGGGGCUUCCUUGGCGGAGAGUCAGGGCCUUUAAUGUAACAAGUGGAGGUCUAGUUGGAGAGAGCUUAGGGCUUUAGAUAAGGGCAAGGCUGGGCCUAAAUUAGGUAAACAGACAGGCCUUAAUUAGAGACAGCUCAGAGCAUGAGUCAGGGUUAGUGCAGGGCCUUAGGUAGGGACAUGCCAGGACCUUACUUAGGCAGAGCACAGAGCCUUAGGUAGGCAAACAGGGCCUUAUUUGGAGAGAGCUCAGGUUGGUAAUGAAGGGUAAGUUCUUAGGGACGCGCAAGGCUUAUAUAGGGACAGCACAGGGCCUCAGUUAGGCACUCGGUCAGGGCCUUCGUUGGAGACUGACUGGGGACAGUGCAUGGCCUCUUUUAGGGAGAGCCCAGGGCCUUAUUUAGGGACAUCACAGCGUCUCAGUUCUGGGGAGAGCCAAAGAUUUAGUUAGAAGAAGCUCAGAUGGCAGUUAGGGAGAGCCCAGUACCCUAGUUACAGGAAGAGGUCAGGUUUUGGUUGGGGAGGCUCCAGUUAUGGGAAGGACAGUGUAGGGUCUUGGUUAAGGACAAGCAGGGCCUUCCUUAGGCAUGGUGUUGGGGACUUGGAUGAAGAUAGCUUAGUGACCUCAGUAGGGACAUGGUCAGGGCCUCAUUUCGGGAUAGGCCAGGGCCUUAGUUAGGGACAAUUCACAGCCUUAGGGAGAGUACAGGGCCUAUGUUAGGGACAGCAUUAGGACUUGACUUAGAGACAGGGUCAGGGCCAUCGUUGGUCAUAACUCAGUUCCUUAGGAGAGAAAAUCUCGGUCUUCAUUAAGGACACAUAAAGGCCUCUUGGACAGUGCAUGGCCACAGGUAGGGACAGUGCAGGGACUGAGUUAGGAAGAGUGUCAGAGCCUUAGGUGUAGACAGCAAGGGCCUUAGUUGGGGACAUAACUGCGCAUUAGGAAGAGUGCAGGGUCUAAGUUGAGGACAAAUGAAGACUUUUCUUAGGGACAGAGUUGGACACAGCACAGUGCUUUAGUUAGAGACAUAACUGAGCCUUUGUUAAGGACAGUGCAUGACUUUAGGAACAGCACAGGGUCCAGGUUUAUGACAGCACUAGGACUUUUCUUAGGGACAAAGUCAAGGUCAUAGUUUGACAUAGCACAGGGUCUUCGUUCGAGAUAACUCAGGGGCUUAGUGAUGGACACACAACGGUCUCAAAUAGGGACAGUGUAGGGCUUUAGCCAGGCACAGUGCCUGGCACAGGGCAGAACCGUGUUUAGGAGCAGUGUAGGGCCUUUGUUAAGGACAGUGCCAGU
rnacentral:lncRNA from 9 species